UACGUAGGGGGCUAGCGUUGUCCGGAAUCAUUGGGCGUAAAGCGCGUGUAGGCGGUUCGGUAAGUCGGCUGUGAAAGUCCAGGGCUCAACCCUGGGAUGCCGUUCGAUACUGCCGGACUAGAGUUCGGAAGAGGCGAGUGGAAUUCCCGGUGUAGCGGUGAAAUGCGCAGAUAUCGGGAGGAACACCGGUGGCGAAGGCGGGUCUCUGGGCCGAUACUGACGCUGAGGAGCGAAAGCGUGGGGAGCGAACAGG
rnacentral:rRNA from 1 species